UACGUAGGGGGCAAGCGUUGUCCGGAAUCAUUGGGCGUAAAGCGCGUGUAGGCGGCCCGGUAAGUCCGCUGUGAAAGUCGGGGGCUCAACCCUCGAAUGCCGGUGGAUACUGUCGGGCUAGAGUACGGAAGAGGCGAGUGGAAUUCCUGGUGUAGCGGUGAAAUGCGCAGAUAUCGGGAAGAACACCCGUGGCGAAGGCGGUUCUCUGGGACGGUACUGACGCUGAGGAGCGAAAGCCAGGGAGCAAACGGG
rnacentral:rRNA from 1 species